AUGCCUUUGUCCAUGCCUUCCUCAUCUCCUGGAGGUGACUUUGUCUGUGUGUUCCUCAGCUGCUGGAGGUGGCUCAUCCAUGUCCGUGUGUUCCUCAGCUCCUGGAGGUGGCUCAUCCACGUCCAUGCGUUCCUCAGCUCCUGGAGAUGGCUCAUCCAUGUCCAUGUGCUCCUCAGCUCCUGGAGGUGGCUCAUCCAUGUCCAUGUGCUCCUCAGCUCCUGGAGGUGGCUUGUCCCUGCUGGCACACACUCCUCAGCUCCUGCCCCACAAGAGCUGGGUAAGCCUAGCCAGCCAAGCCACCCUCAUCUUUCUUUUUCUGCCCUUCAAAGCUGCAAACUCAUGAGGAAAGCUCUAAAAAUAGUUUAGGGUCUCGUCACAGUGACAAAUGCGCUCCUGCUGGAGCUAUAUCUGUCCCUGACGUGAGCGGUGCAGGAUACAGCCUGUUCUCCUGUGUCCCUCUGUGCCAGGGGCUCUGCUGUGACCUGCUCCAGCUGAACACCGUGCCCUGCACUGCCCUGCUCGUUCCUGCCUGGGGCACCCACACCUGCACACGAGUGUGGGAGUCCAGGGCUUCCCUCUGGCUGCCCUGGCAGGUCUGGGACCCUGGCAGGGGUCAGGAACCCCCCUGGACAGAGCCCCCAGAGACACUGGCUGUGAUCUCUGUCCAUGGAAAAGAGUUUUCAAUCUUACAGGAUCAAUUACAAGCUUUGAGUGUUUGAUAAGAGUAAUAAUUAAGUGUGGCACGGGUGCAAAAGUAAAAUUUUAGGAUUCUAGAUGAGGGGUUCAGAGGGGACAAGAUGGAGGAAUUGGGUGUGUCUUGUCCUUUUUCUCCUUCUUCAUGCCCUCCAUGUUUCACUGUGGUGUUGGCAUUUUUCUGUUGGUUCAGGCUGGGGACACACUGUCCAACGUAGGUGACAGAUAUUGGCACGUUAUUGUAAAUCCAGCACAGGUAGUUUGUGGUAUUUAAUGUUUGUACCAUCCCACUGAGGGCAGAGCCCCACACGCUGCCCUGCAGGACAGAG
rnacentral:lncRNA from 1 species